AAGAAGACCCUAUGAAUUUUAAAAUCAAUAACUUUUUUUUAUAAAAGCUUACUGAUUUUUAGUUGGGGCAACUAAAAAAUAUUAUAAACUUUUUUAUUAAUAAAAUGACCCAUUAUUAGUGAUCAUUUGGAAAAAAUACUCUAGGGAUAACAGCGUAAUAAUUUUUGAUAGAACAUAUAGACAAAAUAGUUUGCGACCUCGAUGUUGGAUUAGGAUUCUUUUUUAAUGAAGAUGUUAAAAAAAGAAGUUUGUUCAACUUUUAAAUCUCCUACUUGAUCUGAGUUC
rnacentral:rRNA from 1 species